GAUGAACGCUGGCGGCGUGCCUAAUACAUGCGAGUCGAGCGAACGGACGAGAAGCUUGCUUCUCUGAUGUUAGCGGCGGACGGGUGAGUAACACGUGGAUAACCUACCUAUAAGACUGGGAUAACUUCGGGAAACCGGAGCUAAUACCGGAUAAUAUUUUGAACCGCAUGGUUCAAAAGUGAAAGACGGUCUUGCUGUCACUUAUAGAUGGAUCCGCGCUGCAUUAGCUAGUUGGUAAGGAAACGGCUUACCAAGGCAACGAUGCAUAGCCGACCUGAGAGGGUGAUCGGCCACACUGGAACUGAGACACGGUCCAGACUCCUACGGGAGGCAGCAGUAGGGAAUCUUCCGCAAUGGGCGAAAGCCUGACGGAGCAACGCCGCGUGAGUGAUGAAGGUCUUCGGAUCGUAAAACUCUGUUAUUAGGGAAGAACAUAUGUGUAAGUAACUGUGCACAUCUUGACGGUACCUAAUCAGAAAGCCACGGCUAACUACGUG
rnacentral:rRNA from 1 species